rnacentral:rRNA from 1 species
UACGUAGGGGGCUAGCGUUGUCCGGAAUCAUUGGGCGUAAAGAGCGUGUAGGCGGUCCGGUAAGUCCGCUGUGAAAGUCGGGGGCUCAACCCUGGAAUGCCGGUGGAAACUGCCGGGCUGGAGUCCGGAAGAGGCGAGUGGAAUUCCUGGUGUAGCGGUGAAAUGCGCAGAUAUCAGGAGGAACACCAAUGGCGAAGGCAGCUCGCUGGGACGGUACUGACGCUGAGACGCGAAAGCGUGGGGAGCAAACAGG